rnacentral:lncRNA from 1 species
GAGAAGGCUCCGUUCAGGGCGGGCCCGUAUCGUGAGUGGAGAAAACAUCCAGUACACCGAGCUGAAGACAGACAAAGGGACUCUGGUCGUGAAUGAGAGGAUAGACCGAGAGCAGCUCUGUGGAGACACGACUCCGUGUAGCUUCAGCUUUGAGGUGAUUUUAGAGAAUCCAAUGGAAUUACACAGAAUAACUGUCGAGGUUUUGGACAUAAAUGACCACGCUCCUGUUUUCCCUGAUAAUGAUAAGCCUAUCCGUUUCGAAAUUAGUGAAUCAGCAGUAACCGGGGUCAAAUUUCCUCUGUCGAGUGCAGAAGAUUUUGAUGUCGGACAAAACGCUUUACAAGAUUACAUUUUGUCAACCAACGACAAUUUUAUAUUGAAGCAACAUGCAAAUCCCGACGGAAGUAAAUAUGUAGAAAUGGUGCUCCAGAAGCCUUUAGACCGAGAGCGACAUCCACACUUGUCUCUGAAACUGAUCGCAGUCGACGGAGGAACACCACAGAGAUCUGGUACAGUAAAUAUAGAAAUCACUGUCUUAGAUGCGAACGACAACGCUCCAGUUUUUAACCAAUCCGUGUAUAAAGCCUCUGUGUUUGAAAACACAAUGAAGGGCACGAGAGUUAUAACAGUAAAUGCGACGGACGCUGAUAGUGGUUCAUACGGAGCCAUCACUUAUAGUUUGUCCAAGACGAAAGGCAGUGCGGCAGAUAAUUUUAUUAUUAAUGAGAAAACAGGAACUAUAUCCGUAAAUGGUCCCCUAGAUUAUGAAAAAGAAAGAAAGUACGAAAUAAGAGUGGAAGCAAGGGAUCAAGGUGGUUUAACAGAAACAAGUAAAGUUAUAUUUGAUGUUUUUGAUGUUAAUGACAAUGCUCCAGUGAUAAACAUUAUGUCGUUUUCUAGUCCUGUAUCUGAAGAUGCUCCUCCUGGUACAACGAUUGCUAUUUUGAAUAUCAAAGAUGCGGAUUCUGAUAAAAAUGGACAAAUAAAAUGUUCAGUGGAUGGGAAACUACCAUUUAAGAUUGAAUCAUCUCUGACAAACUAUUAUAAUUUGAUCUCAGAUCAACAUUUUGAUAGAGAAUCUGUCUCAGAAUAUAACAUCACAAUAACAGCCACUGAUUUCGGUUCUCCGCCUCUUUCCACCUCCACAAAAUUGCACCUAAAGAUUUCUGACGUAAAUGACAACGCGCCAUUAUUUGACAAAACAAUUUACUCUGCUUACAUCACUGAAAAUAAUCCACCUGGAGUAUCCAUAUUUACUGUCAGCGCCAGAGACUCAGAUUGGGGCCAAAACGCAAGAAUCUCGUAUAUUUUAGAGGAUACACAGGUCAGUGGAAGUCCAGUCUCGACUUAUGUGAGUCUAAACUCUGAAACUGGAGUUCUCAGCGCAGUUCGUUCUCUUGAUUAUGAGCAAAUCAAAUAUCUUCAGCUGGUAGUCAAAGCUCAGGAUGGAGGCUCCCCUCCACUCAGCAGCAACGUGACAGUGAAAAUAGUGAUCCAGGACCAGAACGACAACCCCCCUCAGGUCCUGUACCCGGUCCAGACUGGUGGCUCUCUGGUUGCAGAGAUGGUUCCUCGUGCAGCAGAUGUGGGCUAUCUGGUGACUAAAGUGGUAGCUGUGGAUGUGGACUCUGGACAGAAUGCCUGGCUGUCGUAUAAACUGCAGAAAGCCACAGACAGGGCGCUGUUUGAAGUGGGCUUACAGAAUGGAGAAAUCCGAACUAUCCGCCAAGUGAGUGAUAAAGAUGCUGUGAAACAAAGACUGACUGUGAUAGUGGAGGACAACGGGCAGCCGUCUCGUUCAGCUACAGUCAUUGUGAACGUGGCGGUGGCGGACAGCUUCCCUGAAGUGCUGUCAGAGUUCACUGACUUUACACACGACAAGGAGUACAAUGACAACCUGACUUUUUACUUAGUGCUGGCUUUGGCUGUAGUGUCCUUCCUCUUCAUCACGUGUUUGGUGGUCAUUAUAUCCGUGAAAAUCUACAGAUGGAGACAGUCUCGUAUCCUGUAUCACUCCAGUCUUCCAGUGAUUCCCUAUUAUCCUCCACGUUACUCAGACACUCUGGGCACAGGGACUCUUCCACACGUGUACAAUUACGAGGUGUGCAGGACGACUGACUCGAGAAAGAGUGACUGUAAGUUCGGCAGAGCUGGUAGUCAGAACGUGCUGAUAAUGGACCCCAGUUCUACAGGGACCAUGCAGAGGAUACAGAGUGAGAAGAGCAUCCUGGACGAACCAGACUCUCCACUGGAGGUAUCGUAACACCUGACAGAUGUCAUUGUUUUGUAUUUUUCCAUAUUGAUUGGUUGACUGGAAUUGACAUCUUAAACCUUUCAUUCAGCACCUCGGACAGCGCCCUUCACUGUCCGUGGCAUAUGUUUUUUUUUUUUUUUGUCAGCCGCUGAAAGCUGCCUUUAUUCAAGUGAUCAUAUUUCGACUUCAUAGUUUGUUACAGGUUGUAAACUUUCAAAUACAUGGUCUUCUACUCUUUUAUGUAUAUAUAUAUAUAUAUAUAUAUAUAUAUAUAUAUAUAUAUAUAUAUAUAUAUAUAUAUAUAUAUAUAUAUAUAUGUAUAUUUACGUGGUUUAUUUUUUAUCAGUUCAUGCUUUUUGAUUUAAUUGGUAACUCUGGAAUCUGAAACGUAAGGGAAGAAUUUUUCAGGUUUUGGAGCUGAGAGUUAAGAUCAUAUAUAACUUCUUCAACCCGUAUUAAAAUCUGCUUCCUUGUCUUUAAACGUACAUUGGUAACUUUUGAUUUAUACCAAAGUGCAUCAGUGUAAAUGUUAUGAGCUUUGUAAAUAAGUGUGACAUCAAUGAUUUGUGAAUGCAACAAAUGAGAGGCCAGAUAUAAUAUGAAUCAAAAUAGGGUUCCUUAAGUAAAAAAGAACUUAGUUUUAAACCAUGAAAACUACCUUGGAAAUAAUGUCAUGUAUAAACAGGGUAGAGUGCAGCAGAUAACGAAUAGCAUACAAAAAUAAAGGUAAGAGGAAAGGAUAACAAGAGUAAUAGUUCACAUGCAAGUGAAAGUAAUAGAGCUUUUGAUGAUAGUGAUUAUAACACUUCUCAAUCUUGUUAGAAAUUAUUCAUUCAUAUCGCCUUUCACAUCUUAUUCCUUAUUUUCAUCAUGAGUGAGACAUAACAUAGUUUUCUAACCGCAAUGGCAGUCACCUAUUAAAUAUAAAAAUACUACACUUAAAAGCAUAUUAAUGUGUUGUCGUGUAACCACAGCACUGUACUUGCAUCAUGGCAACUUGGAAGAUGUGUUUUUGGUGUUCAGAUUUCUCGCAUUGUCCAUUCAGUUGGAUUAUUUGUUUUAAAAUGCUGGCAUUUAUCGUGCUGAUUAACUGUUAAUGUGGACUUUGGUCUUUAAAACCCUUAAGGUCAAUUAUUGGUUAUCAGUAUUGAUCACCGGAUAUCGACGGAAUUUUUAUUCAGUCUAAAUGAUAGUACUGCGCUCAUGGCUGCACGUGAAUUUCUCAUUCUAGACUCUAAGGGACGCUGUUGGUCAGCAAAACAUUUAAGUCUUGUCGUCAUCCAGUCCAUCCUCCCUCUGAUACCAAAGGCUGUCUGUGUUUUAUGCGGUUUAAACGUUGUAGGGGAGAGCACAGUCUCACAGAUUUUCAUGUGAUAUUCGAAGAUCGUAUUUUGCCAGGACAAGGAUUUAAAGGAACCAGUUUCACCAUCAUUUCCACUGGAUACACACACUUGUUUUUUUUUUCUUUGUUGCUAUGAUGGCAGUUGAAGGAUUUCUCUUCGACAAAUGCGCAAGAUGGCGAGUAUUUCAAGGACUGCUACGGAAAUUACAAAUGCUGUUUUUCCUGCUGUGUGUUGCUAACGUGGUUGAUGGUCAGAUUCGUUAUUCUAUACCAGAGGAGAUGAAGAAAGGCUCUGUUAUCGGUAAUGUGGCUCAAGAUCUUGGUUUGGAUCUGAGAAGGCUCCGUUCAGGGCGGGCCCGUAUCGUGAGUGGAGAAAACAUCCAGUACACCGAGCUGAAGACAGACAAAGGGACUCUGGUCGUGAAUGAGAGAAUUGACCGAGAGCAGCUCUGUGGAGACACGACUCCGUGUAGCUUCAGCUUUGAGAUGAUUUUAGAGAAUCCAAUGGAACUACACAGAAUAACUGUCGAGGUUCUGGACAUAAAUGAUCACGCUCCUGUUUUCCCCAAAAUUGAUAAGCCUAUCCGCCUCGAGAUUAGUGAAUCAGCGCUGGUAGGAGUACAGUUUCCACUGCCGAGCGCAGAAGACUUAGAUGUUGGGCAAAACGCUCUACAAGAUUACAUUUUGUCAACCAACGACAAUUUUAUAUUGAAGCAACAUGCGAAUCCAGACGGAAAUAAAUAUGUAGAAAUGGUGCUCCAGAAGCCUUUAGACCGAGAGCGACAUCCACACUUGUCGUUAAAACUGAUCGCAGUCGACGGAGGAACACCACAAAGAUCUGGUACAGUAAAUAUAGAAAUCACUGUCUUAGAUGUAAAUGACAAUGUUCCGAUUUUUAACCAAUCAAUGUAUAAAGCCUCUGUGUUUGAAAACACAAUGAAGGGUGCAAGAAUUAUAACAGUAAACGCCACAGACGCUGACAGUGGUUCAAAUGGAGUCAUUAGUUAUAGUUUGUCUAAUACAAGAGGCAGUGCGGAAGAUUUGUUUAGCAUUGAUGAAAAAACAGGCGCUAUAUCUGUAAAUGGUCCUCUAGAUUAUGAAAAAGACAGAAAAUAUGAGGUGAGGGUGGAGGCUAGGGAUCAAGGUGGAUUAACAGGAACAAGUAAAGUUAUAUUUGAUGUUUUUGAUGUUAACGACAAUGCUCCAGUGAUCAACAUUAUGUCUUUUUCUAGUCCUGUAUCUGAAGAUGCUCCUCCUGGUACAACAAUAGCUAUUUUAAAUAUAAAAGAUGCGGAUUCUGAUAAAAAUGGACAAAUAAAAUGUUCAAUCGAUGGAAAACUGCCUUUCAAAAUCGUCUCAUCUCUGACAAACUAUUACAAUUUGAUCUCGGAUCAACAUUUUGAUAGAGAAUCUGUCUCAGAAUAUAACAUCACAAUAACAGCCACUGAUUUCGGUUCUCCGCCUCUUUCCACCUCCACAAAAUUGCACCUAAAGAUUUCUGACGUAAAUGACAACGCGCCAUUAUUUGAUAAAACAAUUUACUCUGCUUACAUCACAGAAAAUAAUCCACCUGGAGUAUCCAUAUUUACUGUCAGCGCGAGAGACUCAGAUUGGGGCCAAAAUGCAAGAAUCUCGUAUAUUUUAGAGGAUACACAGGUCAGUGGAAGUCCAGUCUCGACUUAUGUGAGUUUAAACUCUGAAACUGGAGUUCUCAGCGCAGUUCGUUCUCUUGAUUAUGAGCAAAUCAAAUAUCUUCAGCUGGUAGUCAAAGCUCAAGAUGGAGGCUCCCCUCCACUCAGCAGCAACGUGACAGUGAAAAUAAUGAUCCAGGACCAGAACGACAACCCUCCUCAGGUCCUGUACCCGGUCCAGACCGGUGGCUCUCUGGUUGCUGAGAUGGUUCCUCGUGCAGCAGAUGUGGGCUAUCUGGUGACUAAAGUGGUGGCUGUGGACGUGGACUCUGGACAGAAUGCCUGGCUGUCGUAUAAACUGCAGAAAGCCACAGACAGGGCGCUGUUUGAAGUGGGCUUACAGAAUGGAGAAAUCCGAACUAUCCGCCAAGUGAGUGAUAAAGAUGCUGUGAAACAAAGACUGACUGUGAUAGUGGAGGACAACGGGCAGCCGUCUCGUUCAGC